rnacentral:lncRNA from 1 species
GUAGUUAAGAGUUCAGUCUUCCUAUAGAAUCUCCAGGAGUUUAGUUAGGCAUUCUGAAAAAGAGAAGUCUUGUUGAUCAGACGGCUAAACGCUCAUAUCGCUCCUAAACUUGAUACACUGUUUUCCUUUUGAUAUGUCUUGCCAAGCAGAGCGACCAAUGCAAGGAGGACCAAGAUCUAGGACGGUGAGCCUCGCCUAGCUCUUCCACCUCUUCCACCUAUCAUGGAGGAGGGACGAAGGGGGAGAAGAUUACAGCAUGAUUCAGGUUUGACUUCUUUUUUUCUAUUCCAUCUAGCAACUCUGGUGGCAGAACAAAAUUAUCCAGUAAACUUAACUGUUUGUAAGUGUCUUGGUUGUACUAGAAUUUGCAGAAUUUUGUCCAAAGUCUAAUCAACACAAAACUGAAGUUUUUUAUUCUGAUUUUUGACACCAGGAUCAGUUGAGGGUUGAAUGCUUCAAUGGUUCCAGAAAGCUUCAUCCACAAUCCUGACAAAUAUUUCCUUUGAUGUCACAAAGCAUACCAAGAAUUUGAAGUGAGUACGUUUUAUCCCAGCUAACCUGUCAGGCUGUCACCUUUUAGCGAUGUCAUGAAAAAUGAACAUAUGGCAGUCAUUUAUUAUUAAUCUUGUGGUGACAUAUGCAUGACUAUUAGUAGAAUACUUUGUAGUAAGUUGUGUGUAAAUGUUGUGUAGAGAAGGCGAUAGGGAGACUGACGGGGCAUAGAGUGCUUCCGUGUGUUGGGGUAUUUAGCUGAUUGCUCAUUUGGGAGCACUCAAUAGCAUGUUGCAUCUUUAAUUUUAUGAAAUAAAUGCCUUCCUUUGUUUGCUCAUUUUCUUCUGAUAUAAAGGUUUAGAUAUUAGGUAUUUGGUACUCAAGACCAUUUAACUUUCUUUUUUCAUAUAUGAGUAUAGCUGGAUUAUUCAUGUUUCUUACAAUCAAGAAUUUUCCCAUUCAGGUAGAUUGUGAAUUAUUCCUGACAUUUCAGCAAAAUAUCCAUUAUUUCUAUCUGGAAGAUUCUGGGUUGAACUCUCGGAGACUCUUUACGCCGAGACUCUUUACCCAAUAUCACCUCUCCAUGCAG